rnacentral:pre_miRNA from 1 species
UGCAGUCGAUCGAGAGUAGAAGUCUAGUCACAGAUUAAUAGUAACUUGUGACUAUAACUUCUACUCGUCUUCCACUACAAGCC